AUUGAACGCUGGCGGCAGGCCUAACACAUGCAAGUCGAGCGAGCGGCGGACGGGUGAGUAAUGUAUGGGGCCUGCCCGAUAGAGGGGGAUAACUACUGGAAACGGUGGCUAAUACCGCAUACUAUCGGAUAACCCAUAUGUGAUUAGCUAGUGGGUGGGGUAAAGGCUCACCUUGGCGACGAUCUCUAGCUGGUCUGCGAGGAUGAUCGUCAACACUGGAACUGAGACACGGCCCAGACUCCUACGGAGGCGGCAGUGGGGAUUAUUGCACAAUGGGCGCAAGCCUGAUGCGGCCAUGCCGCGGAUAUGAGGAAGGCCUUAGGGUUGAAAAGUACUUUCAGCGGGGAGGCGUUACCCGCAGAAAAAGCACCGGCUAACCCCGUGCCAGCAGCCGCGGUAAUUC
rnacentral:rRNA from 1 species